rnacentral:rRNA from 1 species
AACGCGAAGAACCUUACCUACCCUUGACAUACCAUGAAUCCUUGAGAGAUUAGGGAGUGCCCGCGAGGGAGCAUGGAUACAGGUGCUGCAUGGCUGUCGUCAGCUCGUGUCGUGAGAUGUUGGGUUAAGUCCCGUAACGAGCGCAACCCUUGUUCUUAGUUACCAACACGAGAGGUGGGGACUCUAAGGAGACUGCCGGUGACAAACCGGAGGAAGGCGGGGACGACGUCAAGUCAUCAUGGCCCUUACGGGUAGGGCUACACACGUGCUACAAUGGCUAAUACAGAGGGCAGCGAAGUGGCGACAUGGAGCGAAUCCUAUAAAGUUAGUCGUAGUCCGGAUUGAAGUCUGCAACUCGACUUCAUGAAGUCGGAAUCGCUAGUAAUCGCAAAUCAGCAUGUUGCGGUGAAUACGUUCCCGGGCCUUGUACACACCGCAUAC